GUUUUAUAAAGUCUGGCCUGCCCGCUGGUAUAAAAUUGAAGGGCCGCGGUAUCUUAACCGUGCGAAGGUAGCAUAGUCAUUAGUCUUUUAAUUGGAGGCUUGUAUGAAUGGCUGGACAAGAAGCGAACUGUCUCAAAGUAAGUAGUUGAAGUUGACUUUUAAGUGAAAAGGCUUGAAUAUUUUAAAGGGACGAUAAGACCCUAUAAAGCUUAAUAAUUUUGUGUUUAACCAAAUGAAUUGUUAGUUUAAUGUCGUUUAAACAUCGAAUUAUUUCGUUGGGGCGACGAUAAUAUAAUUUGUAACUGUUUUAAAUUUUAAUAUAGAGUUAUUUAUGUCUAACGAUCCAUUAUUGUGAUUAAAAAUUUAAGUUACUUUAGGGAUAACAGCGUUAUUUAUUUUGAGAGUUCAUAUCGACAAAAAAGUUUGCGACCUCGAUGUUGAAUUAAAAGUUCGUCACGGCGCAGUAGUUGUGGUGGUAGGUCUGUUCGACCUUUAAAUUUUUACAUGAUUUGAGUUCAAACCG
rnacentral:rRNA from 1 species